GAUGAAGAACGUAGUGAAAUGCGAUAAGUAAUGUGAAUUGCAGAAUUCCGUGAAUCAUCGAAUCUUUGAACGCACAUUGCGCCCCCUGGCAUUCCGGGGGGCAUGCCUGUCCGAGCGUCAUUUCUGCCCUCCAGCCCGGCUGGGUGUUGGGCGCUGUCCCCCCGGGGACACGCCCCAAAGGCAGUGGCGGCGCCGCGUCGGGUCCUCGAGCGUAUGGGGCUUUGUCACCCGCUCGGGACGGACUCGUCGGCGCUGGUCUUCCUCCAGGCGACCCUUCGGGGCUCGUCUUCCUUCGGUUGACCUCGGAUCAGGUAGGGUUACCCGCUGAACUUAAGCAUAUCAAUAAGCGAGGA
rnacentral:misc_RNA from 1 species